rnacentral:pre_miRNA from 1 species
AGGGGGAGGCUGGAUCCUGGACUGUGUCCCGGCGCCCUGUGCUCCGGGUCUAUGCUGUUGGAUUCGCGCUCCCGGGCGUGCAGCCCCCG